rnacentral:rRNA from 1 species
GAAUAAGCACCGGCUAAUUACGUGCCAGCAGCCGCGGUAAUACGUAGGGUGCGAGCGUUAAUCGGAAUUACUGGGCGUAAAGCGAGCGCAGACGGUUAAUUAAGUCAGAUGUGAAAUCCCCGAAGCUCAACUUGGGACGUGCAUUUGAAACUGGUUAACUAGAGUGUGUCAGAGGGAGGUAGAAUUCCACGUGUAGCAGUGAAAUGCGUAGAGAUGUGGAGGAAUACCGAUGGCGAAGGCAGCCUCCUGGGAUAACACUGACGUUCAUGCUCGAAAGCGUGGGUAGCAAACAGGAUUAGAUACCCUGGUAGUCCACGCCCUAAACGAUGACAAUUAGCUGUUGGGACACUAGAUGUCUUAGUAGCGAAGCUAACGCGUGAAAUUGUCCGCCUGGGGAGUACGGUCGCAAGAUUAAAACUCAAAGGAAUUGACGGGGACCCGCACAAGCGGUGGAUGAUGUGGAUUAAUUCGAUGCAACGCGAAGAACCUUACCUGGUCUUGACAUGUACGGAAUCUCUUAGAGAUAGGAGAGUGCCUUCGGGAGCCGUAACACAGGUGCUGCAUGGCUGUCGUCAGCUCGUGUCGUGAGAUGUUGGGUUAAGUCCCGCAACGAGCGCAACCCUUGUCAUUAGUUGCCAUCAUUAAGUUGGGCACUCUAAUGAGACUGCCGGUGACAAACCGGAGGAAGGUGGGGAUGAUGUCAAGUCCUCAUGGCCCUUAUGACCAGGGCUUCACACGUCAUACAAUGGUCGGUACAGAGGGUAGCGAAGCCGCGAGGUGAAGCCAAUCUCAGAAAGCCGAUCGUAGUCCGGAUUGCACUCUGCAACUCGAGUGCAUGAAGUCGGAAUCGCUAGUAAUCGCAGGUCAGCAUACUGCGGUGAAUACGUUCCCGGGCCUUGUACACACCGCCCGUCACACCAUGGGAGUGGGGGAUACCAGAAUUGGGUAGACUAACCGCAAGGAGGUCGCUUAACACGGUAUGCUUCAUGACUGGGGUGAAGUCGUAACAAGGUAACCAAGCUU